ACGGUAACGGUCUUCGGAUGCUGACGAGUGGCGAACGGGUGAGUAAUACAUCGGAACGUGCCCAGUAAUGGGGGAUAGCUCGGCGAAAGCCGGAUUAAUACCGCAUACGCCCUGAGGGGGAAAGUGGGGGACCGCAAGGCCUCACGUUAUUGGAGCGGCCGAUGGCUGAUUAGCUAGUUGGUAGGGUAAAGGCCUACCAAGGCGACGAUCAGUAGCUGGUCUGAGAGGACGAUCAGCCACACUGGGACUGAGACACGGCCCAGACUCCUACGGGAGGCAGCAGUGGGGAAUUUUGGACAAUGGGGGAAACCCUGAUCCAGCAAUGCCGCGUGUGCGAAGAAGGCCUUCGGGUUGUAAAGCACUUUUGUCAGGGAAGAAAUCCUUUGGGCUAAUACCCUAGGGGGAUGACGGUACCUGAAGAAUAAGCACCGGCUAACUACGUGCCAGCAGCCGCGGUAAUACGUAGGGUGCAAGCGUUAAUCGGAAUUACUGGGCGUAAAGCGUGCGCAGGCGGUUGUGUAAGACAGGUGUGAAAUCCCCGGGCUUAACCUGGGAAUUGCAUUUGUGACUGCACGACUAGAGUGUGUCAGAGGGGGGUGGAAUUCCACGUGUAGCAGUGAAAUGCGUAGAUAUGUGGAGGAACACCAAUGGCGAAGGCAGCCCCCUGGGAUAACACUGACGCUCAUGCACGAAAGCGUGGGGAGCAAACAGGAUUAGAUACCCUGGUAGUCCACGCCCUAAACGAUGUCAACUAGUUGUUGGGGAUUUACUUCCUUGGUAACGUAGCUAACGCAUGAAGUUGACCGCCUGGGGAGUACGGCCGC
rnacentral:rRNA from 1 species